CUGGCUCAGGACGAACGCUGGCGGCGUGCCUAAUACAUGCAAGUCGAGCGAACAGAGAAGGAGCUUGCUCCUUCGACGUUAGCGGCGGACGGGUGAGUAACACGUGGGCAACCUACCUUAUAGUUUGGGAUAACUCCGGGAAACCGGGGCUAAUACCGAAUAAUCUGUUUCACCUCAUGGUGAAACACUGAAAGACGGUUUCGGCUGUCGCUAUAGGAUGGGCCCGCGGCGCAUUAGCUAG
rnacentral:rRNA from 1 species